rnacentral:rRNA from 1 species
GCUCCCUGAUGUUAGCGGCGGACGGGUGAGUAACACGUGGGUAACCUGCCUGUAAGACUGGGAUAACUCCGGGAAACCGGGGCUAAUACCGGAUGGUUGUUUGAACCGCAUGGUUCAGACAUAAAAGGUGGCUUCGGCUACCACUUACAGAUGGACCCGCGGCGCAUUAGCUAGUUGGUGAGGUAACGGCUCACCAAGGCAACGAUGCGUAGCCGACCUGAGAGGGUGAUCGGCCACACUGGGACUGAGACACGGCCCAGACUCCUACGGGAGGCAGCAGUAGGGAAUCUUCCGCAAUGGACGAAAGUCUGACGGAGCAACGCCGCGUGAGUGAUGAAGGUUUUCGGAUCGUAAAGCUCUGUUGUUAGGGAAGAACAAGUGCCGUUCAAAUAGGGCGGCACCUUGACGGUACCUAACCAGAAAGCCACGGCUAACUACGUGCCAGCAGCCGCGGUAAUACGUAGGUGGCAAGCGUUGUCCGGAAUUAUUGGGCGUAAAGGGCUCGCAGGCGGUUUCUUAAGUCUGAUGUGAAAGCCCCCGGCUCAACCGGGGAGGGUCAUUGGAAACUGGGGAACUUGAGUGCAGAAGAGGAGAGUGGAAUUCCACGUGUAGCGGUGAAAUGCGUAGAGAUGUGGAGGAACACCAGUGGCGAAGGCGACUCUCUGGUCUGUAACUGACGCUGAGGAGCGAAAGCGUGGGGAGCGAACAGGAUUAGAUACCCUGGUAGUCCACGCCGUAAACGAUGAGUGCUAAGUGUUAGGGGGGUUUCCGCCCCUUAGUGCUGCAGCUAACGCAUUAAGCACUCCGCCUGGGGAGUACGGUCGCAAGACUGAAACUCAAAGGAAUUGACGGGGGCCCGCACNAGCGGUGGAGCAUGUGGUUUAAUUCGAAGCAACGCGAAGAACCUUACCAGGUCUUGACAUCCUCUGACAAUCCUAGAGAUAGGACGUCCCCUUCGGGGGCAGAGUGACAGGUGGUGCAUGGUUGUNGUCAGCUCGUGUCGUGAGAUGUUGGGUUAAGUCCCGCAACGAGCGCAACCCUUGAUCUUAGUUGCCAGCAUUCAGUUGGGCACUCUAAGGUGACUGCCGGUGACAAACCGGAGGAAGGUGGGGAUGACGUCAAAUCAUCAUGCCCCUUAUGACCUGGGCUACACACGUGCUACAAUGGRCAGAACAAAGGGCAGCGAAACCGCGAGGUUAAGCCAAUCCCACAAAUCUGUUCUCAGUUCGGAUCGCAGUCUGCAACUCGACUGCGUGAAGCUGGAAUCGCUAGUAAUCGCGGAUCAGCAUGCCGNGGUGAAUACGUUCCCGGGCCGUUGU